GUGAGUACCACGUGCUUUUCCCUUGGCUGUGCCCUCACCAUCGCAACCAGAACCUCAGAGCCCUCAGUGCCACAUAGCUGUGUCGGAGGUGUGCUGUCUCAUGGAAAACAUUUAGGAUCAGAGCUUUCAAAUUAAAGAUAGAAAAAGGUCGGUAGCUUUCCAAGUAAUUAAUACCCUGUAGUUACUUAAAACUGUCUUUAGAAAUGUGCCAUUCGGAACUUUCUAGGGCUGAGAACGUAUCUGGGAAUACAGUUAUGUCUUCAGCUGCAGCCUUUUCACCCUGCUUUUGUGAUUGCUCUUUUUCUGUUAGGAUCUUGUUUUGCCAGGGGGAAAAAAAAAUACAAAACGGAACGCUGCCAAGAAAUUUUGUUUUCAUACCUUGGUCCUCCCAGGCUGCCAGUUUGGCCUUCCUGUGCUGACACGUAUUGCAUUACCGGUGCUGCAGCACCAGCAGCGUUCCUGACACCUGGUUUUGGCUUCCCAUGUUUCUGGGUGAGCCGUGGAUGUGCUCAGGGAAGCCGGUCGGCCUGCAGGGCUGUGAGGCUGGAAUCAUGUCUCAGAGUUCUCGUGUGAUUGUCCACCUCGGGGAUGGGUUUUAAUGGCUGAAGCAAGCCAUGCUGAUACAGUUUUCUGCUGUUCCUUCGUAUUUCCAUCGCAGUGAGUUGAUUCCCUGGCAGACCUGCCUGGAGCUGGGGGUCAGAGCUGAGGCACGGUGCUGCCAUCCAUGUCCCUCUGUUUUUUAAUGAGCUCUGUCAGAAUUCGUUACUUAGCCAUUAAGUGGUGUCAGCGCAGAGUUCAUGCAUGAGCUAAGUUGAAAAUCUGCUAGGUGUGAAUUAGUGAUGAGAGAAAAGCAGGUCAAGGAACAUGUUGUUUCAGAGCACGCUGAGCUUCAAGCUUAGCAGAGGCGAUACUGGUGCAUCCAAGGUCUUGAGCAGGCAGAAAUAAGAACAUAGGCAGGAGAUGAGAGCAGGUGAUAAGACGUGGUAGCCCAUCCAUCGGUCCGUUGUGGUUCUGCAUGUCACCAACGAGCAGCGUGCUCUGAAGAUGCUCUGGGCCAGUCCCCAAGCCUUUGCAGACAUCAGAGGGCUCUGCUUGCAUCAGUGAGAUGGUCAUGGGUUCAGGUGCUGCUGCGAGAGACAUGUGGAUCCCCAGCAAUCCUGCACAGUGUCAGGAUGGGUUGCCCUGCAAAGGGAGGCAGGGUUUUACCUCAAGUACUGGAAAAAGACACUUCCUCCGCCUGUGAUCACUUGGCAUAGCACCACCUGGAAAUGAGGUGUGAUGGAAAAAAUAAGCCACGAAGAACAAAGCCUACAGCAAAGGCAGGAAUGUGUAAGUGAGAGGUUCGGGCAUGUGGCUCCCAGCUUGUGGCUGCGUCAGCUCGCUUCCCUUGGUCAAAAUAAAGGUGUCUGAGUUUCUCUGCCUCUGUUUGCUGUGAUGGGAGGAUGCUCACAGCUUCUUUUCUGCGUCAUCUUGGCCUCCCUGUUCCUCUGUGCCUGGAGCCCUUUUCUUUGGCUGCUCAUGGUGUCGGAUGCUCGUGGUUCGUGCUGUAGGAUACAGCCAAGCCCUCUUGGUGCAGGCUCUGGUGGAUGGCACCGAGUGCCAAAAACGAGCCCUGGGGAAACAUCUGAGGACAAAUUGCUAAUGAAGAGAGAGGAGUGCUUUUCUGGAGGGACCCGCCUGGGGAAAGGAAGGCCUUUGGGGAGCUAAAUAUUGUGUUUAAAACAUAAAGGCAGGAACAUGCUUCCCAGCGUGCAGACAAGUGGCAUGCAAGCUGCCUUGUUUUGUGGCACACCGGUAGGUGCAAAGGAAAUGCUGUGGCUGAUAGAAAGCAAAAGGGCUGGUGGAUGUGACAUGGAAAGCAGACGGGCUGUGAGGAGGUGUCUUGCUCUGACACACUGCACAUCUGAAUCCAGCUAGGUCUUCGUAUUGAUUUUUGUAAAAGCCCUUCCAAUUACUUUUGCAAUGAGCUCAUUCCUUCUGGCACAUCUCCUCUCCCUUGUUCAUUUAACACAGGCUUUGUCGCACCUCUCUUCAGCCCUCUGCGUGUGAGCUGGGAGCAAGCAGCUCUGUUGUUGUCCUCAGGGAAAACCAGGCACCUUUGGGGCAUCUCGUCUUGGCUGCUUUUCAGCGCUGCGUGACAGUGGGUUGAAUGGAGCCGGAGGUGUUUCUAAUAGAGCUGUCUGAAGUCAGCCAAAAUACAGCUGGCGUGCUCUGCACCGGCACAGCAAGGCUCGCUCAGAAGCUGCCUUUCCUUUUGUUUCGGUGUUUGGGUUCCAGGCAUGUUGUGAAGUGAUGCUGGAGGCUUUGCCUUGGCUGUUGGCUGGGCAGCCUGGUGGUCCAGGAGCGCGGUUUUGCUCCGGGCUGCAAAGUGCCUGCUUGCUGAAGCUUCUGGAAACAAAGAGCUGAGGAGCUCACAGACCUGUCCAGGCAAAACACCUCCUCUGUUUGCUCUAAUAAUACUGUUUUUCUCAAUUCUACACCCCCAAAACAAUGUGUCUGGGCCUGUUUUAAUCCACUGGAUCACUCGGAGGCUACAGCUGAGGUCUGGUAUCCGGAUGUUUCCCAAACCUGAUCCUGCCCGUGUCCCAUCCUGCGGGCUGCUGGAAGAGGUAACACCAUUCCUCUUUCCCUUACCGCCUGCGCACAUCUGUGCUUGGGGUUGCUCUCUAGAAACCCUCAUGCUCCUAUUUGGCUCUCCCAUGGUUUUCUGCACGUGCAAGGGCUUCUGCUCGGUGUCUUUCCAUUCCCACGUGGUCGGAUUCAUAAAGCUGAUGUUUCUGUGUCCCCACAGGAAUUUGCAGGCUCAGUGAAACUGCUCAGGUCUCCCCGCUGAGGCUGACUAUGUGUUCACCCUCCAGACUGCUUGGGAACGAAGGCAAAGAGAAGAACAUUGUCCCGCAAAGCCACGUGCCUCGCUUGCAGUCUGGGAGCUGAGGCACAGCUUCUGACUUUGCUCUGCAGCCCCUGUGUCCCAACCACUACCCAGGACACUGAUCAACCUGAAGCUGCUGGUUUUCUUGUGAUGGGCUCCUGUAUGCGUUCCAAAUACUGUUGAGGCUGCUCUGUGGGUAUUUUUAGUGUGAGUGAGUAUAAAUAGGCACGGGUACUUGUCUCCUAGAAUUUUCUUCUUUAAGGUUUAAUGGAUAUUUUGCCAAGAGAUGGAGGUCGAUUGUUUAUUCAUGACGUGGAUUGCUAAAUUGCUAGAUGCAGUGUGCAUCAGGUGCCAACGAGGAAAACAAAAGCCUCUUCUUCAUGAGCCCACGUCUGCAGUUAUUUCCAGUGCCCGUGUCCUCGUGUGCAUCCUGCAGCCCUUGGGGCUCCGACAGCAGGCACUGAGAAAAACCAAGCUUGGGAAAAAUCUAAAUACUUCCCAAGGAAGAACUUCAGGAAAUGCCCAUCAAACAGCUGAGCAGGGGAUUCCUGAGCAGGUUUCCUGUGCUUCUUUGAAAUGCUGAUAAAAAGCUUCGUGAGAUACCUGCACAGAGGAAUUUCCCAAACAGGGCACUGAAAGCUUCACACCACAAUGUAUGCGUGAUACUGGAGCUCCCACACGUGCUGGGUGUUUGGAUAGCGUUCUUAGACCUGCUGAAACCUGCGUAAUGUAGUAAUUAUGGGCUGCUAGCUGUUGAAAGGACUCGUGAAGCUACUCCAAGGGGCAGCUGUCACCUGGGUCCUUCGGAUCCCAGCUCAUGUUUGCCUCUGCACGUCCUCAGCAUGCAAACAGGGCUGAGGGAAAGCACCCUGCCUCCUCCUGUCCCUGGGUGCAGGAAUGGCAAUGGCCGGCAGCACUGACAUCUGCCUCCUGGUGUGACCCCAAGGAUGUGACUUUGGGACAGAAACAACAUGCAGCCAGGCACCCCUGAAAUGAAGCAGGGUUAUGGGAUCCAGCUCUGGCAUUAGUGUGCAGUCCUGAACAUCUGCACCAACAUUUGUGUGCCCAGCCAUCAUUGCAGCACCUGUAGCCAUCUGAGCUGGCGCUGGCUGCAGCAUGAAGCCAGGUGAAGGGGUGGGUUCUUUGGGACUGGCAAAAUAUCCCAUGUGCCUUUCAGUGUUUUCCUCUUUUUUUUUUUUUUUUUAAUUAUGCUUGGAGCCUCUUCUGAACAGUAAAACCUAAAAAAUAUUUGGGAAAAUAUUAAUGUGUCACUUUUGGAUCUGACAGUGUUUGUUUGUUUGCUUGUUUUUGAGGGUAGCAAUUUACAAAGUCCUGCUUUUGGGUCCUUCCUUCCCCACAUCUCUGCUGGGAACUGCUGGUGCCCCCAUCCCACCACGGGAGCCCUGGGCUGGGAACACAGCAGUGCCUGCUGCUGGGGAGGUAACACUGCGAACCAGCCUGCGCAUCUUGCAGCCUCUACAAUAUUGCCAAACCUUGUAACACAGAACCAGAUCCCUUUCCAAACCAGCCCCUUGCAGCCCUUCCUUCCUCUCCAAACUGCACCAAUCUCCAGCCAGAGCGAGCCUUGGGUCUGCCCUGCUUCACCCACCUCGUCGCUUCUGUCCCUGCCUCGCAUCUCCCCGCAGCGGUGUUCGGACGCCUCGCCUCUCUCCCGCUGGCUGAGAGCAGCGUGGAUUUCCUUCCAGCGUGACGGUUGGGGUCACUCUUUCACAACGAGCGCUUUCCUCCCGGUACGAUCAGCUCAGCGUCGCGUCCCGCUGACGCCCAACCAGGAUUUCAAGCUUUUGGGACUGCCUUCCCUGGAAAAAAUUAGCGACAUGUUUGAUUUUAAAUAGCGGAAGCGUGCGGGAAUAAGCUUUUCUGUGUGGGUUCGGAAGUUUGC
ensembl:lncRNA